rnacentral:rRNA from 1 species
GACGAACGCUGGCGGCGUGCUUAACACAUGCAAGUCGAACGGUGAAGCGCCUUCCUUUUUGGUGGGUGUGGAUGAGUGGCGAACGGGUGAGUAACACGUGAGUAACCUGCCCCCUUCUUCUGGAUAACCGCAUGAAAGUGUUGCUAAUACGGGAUAUUCUGGGUCUGUCGCAUGAUGGGUCUGGGAAAGAUAUUGUUUCGGUGGGGGAUGGGCUCGCGGCCUAUCAGCUUGUUGGUGGGGUGAUGGCCUACCAAGGCGGUGACGGGUAGCCGGCCUGAGAGGGUGGACGGUCACACUGGGACUGAGACACGGCCCAGACUCCUACGGGAGGCAGCAGUGGGGAAUAUUGCACAAUGGGCGCAAGCCUGAUGCAGCGACGCCGCGUGAGGGAUGGAGGCCUUCGGGUUGUGAACCUCUUUCGCCAGUGAAGCAGGCCUGCCUCGUUUGUGGGUGGGUUGACGGUAGCUGGAGAAGAAGCGCCGGCUAACUACGUG